CGGGGCGUCAUGGUAGGGUGAGAAUCCCGUACGUGACCGGAGGCCAAGCCUGGGCGAAACCCCUUCGACGAGUCGAGUUGUUUGGGAAUGCAGCUCUAAAUGGGUGGUAAAUUCCAUCUAAAGCUAAAUACCGGCCAGAGACCGAUAGCGCACAAGUAGAGUGAUCGAAAGAUGAAAAGCACUUUGGAAAGAGAGUUAAAAAGUACGUGAAAUUGUUGAAAGGGAAGCGCUUGCGACCAGACCUGCGCGGGGGCGAUCAACGGCCGUUCUCGGCCGUGCACUCGUCCCCGAUCAGGCCAGCAUCGGUUCGGGCGGUCGGAUAAAGGCUCCGGGAAUGUGGCUCCCCUCGGGGAGUGUUAUAGCCCGGGGUGCAAUGCGGCCAGCCCGGACCGAGGACCGCGCUUCGGCAAGGAUGCUGGCGUAAUGGUCGUCAGCGACCCGUCUUGAAACACGGACCAAGGAGUCUAACAUCUGUGCGAGUGUUUGGGCGAAAAACCCAUACGCGCAAUGAAAGUGAACGUAGGUGGGAGCCCUUAAGGGUGCACCAUCGACCGAUCCAGAUCUUCUGGGAUGGAUUUGAGUAUGAGCAUAGCUGUUGGGACCCGAAAGAAGGUGAACUAUGCUUGAAUAGGGUGAAGCCAGAGGAAACUCUGGUGGAGGCUCGCAGCGGUUCUGACGUGCAAAUCGAUCGUCAAAUUUGGGCAUAGGGGCGAAAGACCAAUCGAACUUUCUAGUAGCUGGUUUCUGCCGAAGUUUCCCUCAGGA
rnacentral:rRNA from 1 species